rnacentral:rRNA from 1 species
AACGUAGGUGGCAAGCGUUAUCCGGAUUUACUGGGCGUAAAGCGUGUGCAGGCGGGGGUACAAGUGGUGUAUGAAAUUUCCCAGCUUAACUGGGAAGGGUUAUGCCAGACUGUACUUCUGGAGUGCGAGAGAGGGGCGUGGAAUUCCGGGUGUAGUGGUGAAAUGCGUAGAGAUCCGGAGGAACACCAGAAGCGAAGGCGGCCUACUGGGCUGCACCUGACGCUGAGCCGCGAAAGCCAGGGGAGCGAACGGG